UGAACCUGCAGAAGGAUCAUUA
rnacentral:ncRNA from 2 species